UUUUCGGAGAGUUUGAUCCUGGCUCAGGACGAACGCUGGCGGCGUGCCUAAUACAUGCAAGUCGAGCGAACAGAAGGGAGCUUGCUCCCGGAUGUUAGCGGCGGACGGGUGAGUAACACGUGGGUAACCUACCUGUAAGACUGGGAUAACUCCGGGAAACCGGAGCUAAUACCGGAUAGUUCCUUGAACCGCAUGGUUCAAGGAUGAAAGACGGUUUCGGCUGUCACUUACAGAUGGACCCGCGGCGCAUUAGCUAGU
rnacentral:rRNA from 1 species